GACCCCUGGGCUAACAGCCCAAGGGACACACCUCAAUGGCCCCCACCUGUGUCCAUAUCAGCACGCCUGGACCAGCUCAGAGCAACGGCCCCCACCAAUGUCUCAGUCUCCAGAGAGGAUCCUCCUCUCACCAAGAUUCCCCCAGAGCCCACCAGGAACUAUGAGUCCACAAACGGUCUCAGAUAUUGGAACACAAAGACCAUGACAACUUUUGUUACAAUGGCUCAUGAGAGGCCUAGUUUCAACAGAACCAGAUCUUUUUCAUUGAGAUUUUAAAAACACUUUAAGAGGAAUGUGUGCUUUAUCCUCCACCCUUUGAAUCUCUGCCUUAAAAUGUUUGAAGGUCGCUGUCAUAUCUCUGGAAAUCUUUUCUUCUCCAGGAUAAUAUCUACUGUUCUUUCAAUCAUUCUUAAAUAUUAUGAAUGAAAAUUCAAAAGAAGACCUAGUUUACAUGUUCAUAAACACGU
rnacentral:lncRNA from 1 species